rnacentral:snRNA from 1 species
AUCGCUUCUUGGCCUUUUGGCUAAGAUCAAGUGUAGUAUCCCUGGGGCAAAUAAUACAUUAUAUGUUAAUAAAAAUAAUUAAUUAAAAUAAGAAUACAC